GCGCUCGUAGCUCAGCUGGAUAGAGUGUCGGCCUCCGAAGCCGAAUGUCGCAAGUUCGAUUCUUGUCGAGCGCACCA
rnacentral:tRNA from 2 species